UGUUCUAAGCAGAGAUUAACAGUCCUCAGCUUUCUGCCUUGCACAUAACUGGCUGGCCCGAGGCAGCUGUCCUGAUUGGCCGGAGCUUCCUCGCGCCCGCUACGAAGAGGAACCACCGGAGCUUCCCUGGGCCCGGUACUGGGAGGAGCCGCCGGAACUCCCCCGCGCCCACUACGAAGAGGAGCUGUCAGAGCCUCCCCGUCCCUGCUGUUACCCAGAGGAGCCGCCCGAGCACGCCUGGCCGGACUUCCCCGAGUAGCUGCCGGACCUGCCACCAAGCCCUGGCCUUGAGGAGCCUAUGCUGAUUGACUGGCCUGGACCCGGUGCCCUGGACGAGCUGCGCUUGCAGAGGAAUUGUCCAGGAGCCCCAGCCCAAGGAGAAACUGGC